GGUCUCCUAGGUGACUACCUGGAGGGGGCCAAGCACUUCAAACCUCAUGGGUUCUCCUGCGACAAGGCUAAGGCAAGCUCCUCCGAAUGGCUGGCUGUGGAUGGGUUGGUCAGUUUCUCAGACAACAGCAAGGAGGAUGCUUUCUCCGGGACAGAUUGGAUGGUAGAGAAAAUGGAUUUGAAGGAGUUUGAUUUUAAUGAUACCCUGUUGAGUAUAGAUGACCUGGAAACCAUGCCAGAUGAGCUUUUGGCCACGUUGGAUGACACGUGUGGUCUCUUUGAUCCCCUACUCCAGGAGACUGAUAAGGAGCCCCCCCAGAUAGUGAACCCAAUUGGCCAUCUUCCAGAAAGUUUACCAACAAUUGACCAGGGUGCCCCCUUCACCUUCUUGCAACCUCUUCCCCCUUCCCCAGGGGCCCUGUCUUCCACUCCAGAUCAUUCCUUUAGUUUAGAGCUAUGCAGUGAAGUGGUUAUCUCUGAAGGAGAUAGCAAGCCAGACUCCACCACUUGCAUUACUGUGAUCCCUAGUGCAUAAAGGAGGAGGAUGCCCCCUCAGAUAAUGAUAGUGGCCUCUGCAUGAGACCUGACUCCUCUCUGGGCUCUCCCCAGCAUAGCCCCUCCACCUCCAGGGGCUCUCCAAAUAAGAGCCUGCUAUCUCCAGGUGCCCUCAGUGGCUCUUCCCGCCCCAAACCCUAUGACCCUCCUGGAGAGAAGAUGGUAGCAGCAAAAGUAAAGGGCGAGAAGCUAGACAAGAAGCUGCAGAAAAUGGAGCAGAACAAGACAGCAGCCACUAGGCACCGCCAGAAGAAGAGGGCAGAACAGGAGGCUCUCGCUGGUGAAUGUAACGAGCUAGAAAAGAAGAAUGAGGCUCUGAAAGAGAAGGCAGAUUCCUUGGCCAAGGAGAUCUAGUAUCUUAAAGAUCUGAUAGAAGAGGUUCGCAAGGCAAGGGAGAAGAAAAGGGUCCCCUAG